GAUGAACGCUGGCGGCGUGCCUAAUACAUGCAAGUCGAGCGAACAGAUCAGGAGCUUGCUCCUCUGACGUUAUCGGCGGACGGGAGAGUAACACGGGGUUAACCUACCUAUAAGACUGGGAUAAUUUCGGGAAACCGUAGCUAAGACCGGAUAAUAUAUUGAACCGCAUUGUUCAAUAGUGAAAGUCGGUUUUGCUGUCACUAAUAGAUGGACCCGCGCCGCAUUAACUAGUUGGUAAGGUAACGGCUUAGCAAGGCAACGAUGCGUAGCCGACCUGAGAGGGUGAUCGGCCACACUGGAUGUGAGACACGGUCCAGACACCUACGCGAGGAAGCAGUAGGGAAUCUUACGCGAUGGACGAAAGCCUGACAGAGCAACGCCGCGUGAGUGAUGAAGGUCUUCGGCUCGUAAAACUCUGUUAUUAGGGAAGAACAAAUGUGUAAGUAACUAUGCACGUCUUGACGGUACCUAAUCAGAAAGCCACGGCUAACUACGUG
rnacentral:rRNA from 1 species